rnacentral:lncRNA from 1 species
AUCAUAAAUUAUGAGUCUAACCAGUUUCUAGGUUAUUAUAUGGUCUAGCUGAAAUUGUUUUUUAAGAAAUAGGUUAUUGAUAUAUAAUUCAUACAUCAUUAUGAAUUUAAGUGGAAGCAUAAUACUUUGCUCAGUGUAUUUCCCCAUUUUUGGAUGCUUGUAUUAUUUCCAUUUUUUUUUCUGUAAUAACUAAUAAUAACUGCAGUGAAUAUCACUGUAAAUAAAGUAUUUCCCACAUUUAUUAUUAUUUCUUUAUGACAGAUUUCCAGAAGUGAAAUUAUAAUUAUUGGCUUACAGGAUAUGAACAUUAUUAAGAUUCUUGCUGUAUAUUUUCACACUGCCUUCUGAAGAACUCUACCAGUUUGUACCCCCUAAAUAUGGGGGUCUUUUAUCACCUUUGCCAACCCUGAGUAUUAUCCAGAGUCUGUUUUUUAAAAAAAUAACUUUACAGGGAGAAACAAAACUUCAUUUGCAUUUUCUUGAUUAUUAGUGAUGCUAACAUGUAUUAGCCAGUUUUAUUUCCUUUUUGGAAAAUUGUGUAUUUAUUUGGAGUCUUAGUGUUUUUCAUUGUUUUAGUAGCUCUCUGUUCAUUAAAGAUAAUGACUAUCAUGUUUAUUGCGAUUUUUCUCCAACUGCAUACUUUUUUUUUCCCUUUUUUGGCUGUUCCUACAGCUUUGGAAGUUCCCAGGCCAGGGAUCGAAUCUGAGCUGCAGCUAUGACCCAUGCCAUAGCUCCAGCAAUGCCAGGCCCUUAAGUUACUGCCACCACAGAGACAACUCCAGAUCCUUAUCCUUAACCUGCCACACCACAGCAAGAAUGCCUCCAAUUUUAUACCUUUUAAUUUUAUUUUCAAGAGAAGUUUAAAAUAUUUAUACAGAUGAAUUUUUAUUUUUUCGUGUAUUUUUUGUAGUGGCUUCAGAACUUAGAAAGUUACCUUUGUUUCAGAGAUACGAGAUGAAGCAUCUCUGAAUUUCUUCCCUCUGUGCUUCUUAUUCAUGUAAAUGGUUUAGUUUUAAUAUUUAAUUCUGACAUAAGAUGGGAGAGAGUAGACCAACUAGCCAGCUCCCCCACCCUCUCCUUACAGCAGUGCAGGCUGAGUCACAAGCUAUUCUUAGGUGUUUUUUCCCCCCUUUGUGUGGAAGUUCCCAGACCAGGAAUCAAACCCAUGCCAUAGCAGUGACUCAAGCCAUAGCAGUGACAACACUGGAUCCUUAACCCACUGUGCCACCAGGGAACUCACAUUCCUGUUCUUUUAUUCUCUGUUUUGGUUGAUUCUUUGUGGGCUAAACCUAACAUUUAUAAAAUUUAUAAUUUAUACUCAAAAGUCUUAAACUGAAGAUGCUAAGUUGCAAGACUAGAACUAAAAACAAAGUUUGUAUAGAAUAGUUCUCUUUGAAACUUCUAAGUCUCAAUAUGCUUUGUAUAUUUGGGGCCCUAAGCUUCGAGGUAGAAAUAACAGUCACUUUUCUCUCAAAUAUAGUAAAUAUUUGUAAGAAAAGUAUGUCCUUUUAAUUAGAAAUUGGUACAAAUAUAGUUUGUUUUACCAACUCAAUAAAAUCAAGCCAUCUAUUAUAGUUGAAAAUAAUGUUGAAAUAACAAUAGUAAUAGCCAUCAUUUAUGAGCACCUCUGUGUGCAAGAUGCUUUACAGACAUGAUAGCAGAGCCUUAAAACAACCUGGCAUUUAGGUACAGUUAUCCACAUUUAUAGAUUAGGAAAUUGAAACUAUGUCAUGUGGAAGUCUGCUAAGCUAAGAAGUAACUGUGCUGGGAUUAGAACUCAAGUUGGUUGAUCUGCUUUCAAAGUUCAGGUUCCAGUCUGUGAGCUUGCUUGUCCUCAGUGCAGUUGAAAGAAUGCUAAUCUCUCAGAGUCAAAGCAUUUGUGUUUAUUAAAGGAUAUUUUAAUACCUUACAUGUGGCUGACUGCUAGGCACUAGGUAUAUGAAGAUGAAGAGACAUUCAUAGGAACUCAGUCAAAUAGAGGUGAGCAGGCAUGAAGAAAAAGGUUUCUUUUCUAGGUGAUAUGCAGUUUAAUGGAGGCACAUAUAAGGUGAAAUAACUAUGUGGCAAAGCAGAGUUUCUGUUGUGACUCAGCAGGUUAGGACCUGAUAUACAGCCUGUGAGGAGGUGGGUUUGAUCCCUGGCCGUGCUUAAUAGGUUAAGGAUCUGGCAUUGCAAGCUGCAGCAUAGGUCACAGAUGUGGUUCGGAUCUGGUGUUGCUGUGGCUCCCAGGAACUUCCAUAUGCCACAGGUCCAGCUGUAAAAAGAAAAAAAAAAUAUGGCAAAGAAAGGUUUUGUAAGUAGAAGUGUCACUGAGAAGGUAGGUAGUUCCAUAGGUUUAGAGAGAGAGGGAGACUGGGAAUAAGAGGGGGCAGAGGUGGAGGGGGAAGGUAUUCCAGCAUUGGAAAAGUAGGCAGAGGAUAGACCCUAAAACAUCUUGUAUUCCCUGUGAAGGAGAUUAGAUUUUUUAAAAUAGCAGCUUUAUCAAGAUAUAAUUCAUUAUACCAUAAAAUUCACUCUUCUAAGCUUUACAGUUCUUAUUACCAUCACAGAAUUCCACAAGCAUCUUCACAAAUUUUAGAACAUUUUCAUCAUCUAAAAGAACCCCUUAUGCCCAUUAGCAGCCGCUCUCCUCUUCCCCCUAAUAUUCUGAGCUCUAGGGUACCAGUAAUCCACUUUUUGUCUCUGAAUUUGCCUAUGUUGGACACUUCAUGUAAAUGAGAAUACGGAAUAUGUGGUCUUUUGUGAUUUCUUUUACUUUCCCUAGUGUUUUUAAAGCGCAUCCAUGUUGUAGCACACAUCAGUAAAUCAUUCCUUUUUGCAGCCAAAGGUUCCGUUGUACGGGCAUACCACAUUUUGUUUAUCCAUUCAUCAGCUGAUAGACAUUUGGGUUGUUUCCACUUUUUGAGUUUUAUGGAUAAUGCUGCUGUAUGCAUUUGUGUACAAUUUUUUUUUUUUUGUCUUUUUGCCUUUUCUAGGGCCGCUUCCUGUGGCAUAUGGAGGUUGCCAGGUCUAAUCAGAGCUGUAGCCGCCAGCCUACACCACAGCCACAGCAAUGCGGGAUCCAAGCCACAUCUGCAAACUACACCACAGCUCACGGCAAUGCCAGAUCCUUAACACACUGAGCAAGGCCAGGGAUCGAACCCGCAACCUCAUGGUUCCUAGUCGGAUUCGUUAAUCACUGCACCACGAUGGGAACUCCUGUGUACAAGUUUUUGUGUGGAUUUAGGUUUAUGUUUUCACUUCUCUUGGGUUCAUAUCCAGGAGUGGAAUUGCUGAGUUAUAUGGUAGCCUCUGUUGAACAUUUUGAGGAGCUGCCAAAUUGUUUUCCAAAGCAGCUAAAUCAUUUCACAUUCCCAGCAGCGAGGUAUGAGGGAUCCAAUUUAGUAGAUUAGAUUUUAUGCUAUUGGUGAACAGAAUCACAGUGGUUGAAAAUUAUUGGAUUAUAAUGCUGCUUCCCCAAUAUGAUUCAAGAGUGUGUCAGGAGGCUUUUUCUGAUGAAAGAAACUAAAAUGCAGAUGAUUUCCUCACUUCUUGGGGGCUCUUUUUACUCCAUUUCCAUAGUUUUUGAUUGUUAUGUAUUCGUAUGGGAUAUUUAUAAUCUGAGCUAUUAAGGAUUACUGAAAUUUAGCGUUCAUAAACUAAAACUAGCCAAUUUCUAAAACUUAUUGAGGACUCUAGUUAUGUUCUAAGAAAUCUGUUAACUAUACAAAACUUUGGCAGGAUGGAACUGAAUUGAAAAAUUCCUACUAUGCACGCCCACACUGAUGGAUAUUAUUUUCAGUGCAUCAUUGGGUUGCCUCAAGUUUGAUUUGGCUCCAAUUUCUACUAUUCUUGAAUUAACUAAUUAUAGAGUUAUGCUAGAUUUAGUUUUGUUGACCAUUUUGCUCUUGUGUAACUGUUUCAUUGCGAUAACUUCUUCAUGAUAGAGUUAUUUUUCUGCUGGAAAAUAGGAGCAGGUGAGUAGGUUGGAUCUCUUGUCCCACUUAGGUGGGCUGUUAUUUAUAAUAGUUUGAGAAUUAAUGGAUAACAUAAUUGGAAGGAUUUUCCCACUCUAAUAUCCCACCCUAAUAAACUUUUUAGGUGGGAAUUAGUGUGUGUUAUAUUAAGUCUUAAUUAUUGAAUACAUGAAUCUCUGAAAGUCCACAGAUUGGCUUUGGAAAUCUGAAACCAUGUAUGCCAUGAUUUGUACAUUUGUGUUUUUUUUCCAGAGAGGGAAACUGGGUUUUCCAAAUUUCUUAGAAAAAAUGAAGAAGUCCAUGACCCCUCAAAAUUAAAGAAUUCAGAUUGGUGAAGAGAAUUUGUAGAUUUGUGAUUUGAAGCACUUGCGGGAAGUGAGAUCCUAUUCUGGCUAGGUGUUGUUAUGUAGUGAUAGAUACUUUCUGGACACACUCUUUUUUAGUGUGACUCAUCCCAUGUUAGAAUAUCUCCAUUUUAUUCUUUCCUGGUGAUUUUUUUGUCCCUGUCAGAACUUAGACUUUGUCUCUGAAGUCUUCAUUACAUAUCUAUUGUUUUAUAUUCACUUUCUUGAAUAAUUGAGAUGUUCUUUUUUUCCUUUUUUUUUUUUUUUGCCAUACCUGCAGCAUGCAGAAGUACCUGGGCCAGGGAUCAAACCUGAGCCACAGCAGUAACCAGAGCCACAGCAGUGACAGCACUGGAUCCUUAACCCACUGAGCCACCAGGGAACUCAGGAUAUUCUAUUUAAGAGUGUUAUUUUUCCUACAGUGAUUGCAUGCUUUACUUGAAAUGUAUUGAUAUUUUUAAAAAUUUUUUGAUUGAUAGAAUAUGAAAACAGAUGCUUUUCUAUCCAUUGGCUACUAUUUUUUCUUUCCUCUACUCUCUUGUUCUGUUUGUGAUUUGGGUGAUGUUGGAAACUACCAGUCACUGAUGGAGGCUCUUCCCCUGCAGACCCUGCUGGAGUGUGGCCUUGGUUUGGAUUCCAGUCUCUUUAGGCCUCUGCAGUAGAGUGUGUGUGUGCAGGAAUGUACUUUUCCUCUGUAGUUUUUUAGCACUAGAUGUAGCACGGCUGGAUUUGAGAUGAAAUUGGUAAAUUCAGUUAAAUGUUUUUGGUAAAACAGCCUUGUUACUUAAUAUUGUUUAUAAUAGACUAAGAAGGUGACAAGGGUGAGGGCUGGGUAAUCUGGCAAGAGGGUUAAAAGAUGGUGUAGUAAAAUACAAGUAUAUUUAGUGCUUGUCCCUGGUUCCUGGCACAGAGUUCCUAAAACCUUUGAAAUUCCCUGAGCGAUAGGAAAUCUGCUUUCCAUCAUACCAGAGCCUAGGUUAAUGAGGUGACUGAGAGUAGUACCCCAAGAUAACCUCAGGAUAAGACUGGACAGGCAGAAAGACCUAGAGAUUAGAGGGUUAGGAUUUCAGCCCCACCCCCCGACCUCCAGGAAGAGGAGGUGGGUACCGGAGUUUGUACUCUUCUCUAUUUACACACACACACACACACACACAGAGUUUUACAUAUUUGUAGUCAUGGUGUAGAUUUUUGUCUACUCGUUAUAUGUAAGAUUUUUUUUUCCUGUGCUGUCUCAUAAUUUUUAAAAGUUUUAAUGGUUGUGAUAUUUUUAUCUAGUAAUAGACUGAUUUAUUAACCACACGUUUUCAGAUGUUUAGGUUAUUUCAAGUUUUUUGCCUUGAUAAAUAAAACUCUAUGAACAUUGUUAUUUAGCAAAAGUAUACUAGACAUUUACUUUGUCAAACUCCAUUAGGUGCUGGAUUCACAAAGAUAAGAUCCUUUAUCUCAAGAUAUUUUCUUCUGGAGUUCCCACUGUGGUACAUCUGGAUUGGCAGUGUUGCUGGAGUGCCGGGACGCACGUUCGAUCCCCAGCCUCACACAGUAGGUUAAAGGUUGCAAUUGUGGUUCAGAUCUGGUCCCUGGCCUGGGAACUCUAUAUGCUGCAG